AUGUGGUCGUUUGCGCCCCUAUCCACGUACCAGUUUGUCAGUCGCGUGCGGUGUGGCCAUGUUUGCCACAGAUUUGGUAGCGCGGGGCGUCAGGACUCGUGCGAGGCUUGCCACCACGGCGGCCCUUGUUGUUGUUGUUGUUGA
rnacentral:rRNA from 1 species